rnacentral:rRNA from 1 species
UCCUCUUGUAAUCUUAUGAGGUCUGGCCUGUCCACUGAAUAUUUAAGGACCGCGGUAUUCUGACCGUGCAAAGGUAGCAUAAUCAUUAGUCUUUUAAUUGGGGACUGGAAUGAAUGGUUUAACGAAAUAAUAACUGUGUUAAGAUGAUAAGUUGAAUUUUAUUUUUAAGUUAAAAAGCUUAAAUGUUAAAUAGGGACGAGAAGACCCUAUAGAUCUUUAUAAUUUUUUUUGUGUAAUGUAAUUAGAUUAUUUUACAUUCAUAAUAAAUGAAUUAUUUUGUUGGGGUGACAUGAGAAUAUAAAAACUUCUUGGUUUUUAACUUGAAUUGUUGGUUAAAAUGAUCCUUUAUUAUGGAAUAAAGUUUAAGAUACCUUAGGGAUAACAGCGUAAUUUUAUUGGAGAGUUCUUAUUGAUAAUGAAGAUUGCGACCUCGAUGUUGGAUUAAGAUUAAAUUUUGGUGUARAAGCUGAAAGUUUUGGUCUGUUC